AAAAAAAAAAAAAAAAAAAAAAAAAAAUGAAUAAAGAAAAGCUAAAGAAUGAACAUCAUGCUUCAUACCAUACGAUCCAUCUUCUACUUUGGACCUUUGUUGUCAUCUUUUUAUGUAUGUUUGUUUCAUACAUUAUUUUCAUCAAUUCACUGGUCACCCAGGGAAUCCUUCGCAUCAAGUGUUUUCAAUCUAACCGGAAUGAUUAUGGUGAUAAUCGGACAGCGCCGUAUACAGAUGUAACCAUUAAAAACAACACUGUUUUGAUUAAGUCGUUCUACAAGUCACCAUGGAACGAGUCUGGAAAGCUUGUCAAGCUCCACUUCUCAAUACGCUUCACACUUGAUGAAAACAUGGAAGCUACCUCUAACAGCGAGAUUCUAAAUGAGGAUGAGCAAGAAACGGAUUCUCUUAAUGGACCGACAGAGGCACACAUCUUUCUUUUGGUUUUGCAACUUUUUCUCAAUUUAUUAAAUUUCAAAAAUGUUAAGAGAGAGCGUCAAUGGGCAUGUGCUAAACUUAUCAUUGACGGUCGUGUGGAAGAGACUUUCUCCAAAUGUAAGCCAGACUUAGAUAAACACUUACACACAGAGGAAAUAUUAAUACCCUUGAUUGAAGAAUCUUUAAAAACAAGAUUGGGAAACCUAAACACUACACAGAAAGAGGCUUUACUUGUUAUUUACACCUACAACAGCCCAUGUAUUCAGAGAAGAGAAAUAAAUAAAACACCAUGUUAUUUUCUUAUUGCUGACAAAGCAGCUGAAUGGGAAAGAAAAUAUAAUCUUAAGACUAGAGUUGAAUAUACAGUGUAUUGGGGACCAGUCAAUUAUACAAAUAUCCAAAAUUCCACAAUCUCAAGUGAAAAUAGCAUUUUUUUACCAAUGUAGAGAGGAAAAGAACCAGAUAAGCUGCAUAAUGAAAAUUGUAAACAAUGUCAUAUGUUCUUAUUUUAUAAACUACCCCAAGUGUAUUUUUGGGGAAGAUUGUUCCUUGACAUUUUUAUUCACGGAGAAUUUUUCAUAGUUUUUCCCCAACUGAGAAUUUUUCAUCGAUUUUCCCCAAUGCAAGGCUUGUGUAAUGUAUGUAUGGUCAGAAGGGGUCCAGUUUCACUGAAGGCAACUGCAAGUGACAAAUAAAGGUUUAAUUUAUGCAUUCAUUCAUAAUAAAAUAAAUUGAUAAAACUG